UACAGAGGGGGCAAGCGUUGUUCGGAAUUACUGGGCGUAAAGGGCGCGUAGGCGGCCUGUUAAGUCGAACGUGAAAUCCCCGGGCUCAACCCGGGAACUGCGUCCGAUACUGGCAGGCUUGAAUCCGGGAGAGGGAUGCGGAAUUCCAGGUGUAGCGGUGAAAUGCGUAGAUAUCUGGAGGAACACCGGUGGCGAAGGCGGGAUCCUGGACCGGUAUUGACGCUGAGGCGCGAAAGCCAGGGGAGCAAACGGG
rnacentral:rRNA from 1 species